UACGUAGGGUGCGAGCGUUGUCCGGAAUUAUUGGGCGUAAAGAGCUCGUAGGCGGUCUGUCGCGUCGAUCAUGAAAACUUGGGGCUUAACCCUGAGCUUGCGGUCGAUACGGGCAUGACUGGAGUUCGGCAGGGGAGACUGGAAUUCCUGGUGUAGCGGUGAAAUGCGCAGAUAUCAGGAGGAACACCGGUGGCGAAGGCGGGUCUCUGGGCCGAUACUGACGCUGAGGAGCGAAAGCGUGGGGAGCGAACAGG
rnacentral:rRNA from 1 species